rnacentral:lncRNA from 1 species
GCGGGGGCAUAAAGAAGAUACGGUUUCCCCAUUUAUGCAGAUUUGAUAUUGUUUCCUGAUCUUGUUAUAUGGUUUUCUCAUUUAUGCAGAUUUGAUGUUGUUUCCUGAUCUUGUUAUAUUUCCCCAUCUUGUUUUGAUUUUAUUCUCCAAUUUUAUUUUCUUUUCCUGAUUUUCUGGUGUUUUCCAAUUUUGGUUGUAAAUCA